UCCCUGGGAAAUAAAUAAAAAAAUAUUAUAUAUCAGGAUUUUGAUUGCUCUGCAGCACUUUAUGACAAUGUCUUUUUGCACUGAGUUCCAAGAAGAACUGCAGACAAAGGUGUGUGUGCCUACGUGCAGAAGCUGGUGUAAAGGAAACUGAAAAGAGAAUGGGUGCAGAAAAUCAGGAUCAGGGAACCAGCUAUAAACUCAAGAGGACAACCUGCAAAAAAACCAGCAUCCAAAUGAUCACUUUGGAGACUUAAGAGGCACUAAAAAUCCCAUCUCUGCAUGCAGAAAGCCCGUGUUCAAUAAUUAUACCUGGCAAAGGCUCACCCCCACCAAUACUGUGAAGUGCUGAUCCCCGGAGAACCUUCUUCUUGUCCAGAGAUUAUAAUGUUGCCAUGUUCCUCCAGAGAUACACCUGCUGAGUAGCAAAAAGAGAACAAGCUUCUAUUUCUGCUCUUUCUGACAUAAGGAUGUUACACUACAAAAAAAUGUAAAUGUCACAAAGCCUCAGCAUGAUAGAUGCACACCUUUCCUUUGUAAAACACAAAUCCUAAUUUCCAUGUUGUGUUCAGGAUGCCAGUAUGGUUGUUAUAAAUAUGUUUUUCCCUUAUACCUUGGGAAACUAGAAUUGGAAGCUAUAAUUAGGUGCUGCCUUUGGCAGAGGAGGUCCUGUGGGAUAGCGCAGUGAAUACGGAGUGUUAGGAUAGAGCUUGCAACAGAAUUCUCGAGAUGCUUCUCACCCCUGGUGGGUUUCUUCAAACUUGUCAAAAUAACCUACUAGGUGGGUCACAUAAGGAUCAAGAAUAUAGAUAAAGGAUAAAGAAAAUGCUUGGCUGCUUAUUUCUGAAUCUCUCCUCUGAAUUAAAAUGAAAUGACUGUGAAGGAAGCUUCAUCUCCAGUUCCAUCCCACAUCUACGUUUCGUUAGGAAAUGAUAAUCAAAGUUAAGUGAAAUCCGACUAAUGACCAGUGGCACCUCGAAAGGUGAGCAGCUGAUAUCUUUUUUCAGAGCUUUGCAUUUUACUGAGCCAAAACGAUGGAUAGGUUCAUUCCCUUGUUUAAAAAGAGAGACUCUGAUAAUGAAGAAUCAUCACAAAACCCAUUAAAAUUCUUUUUUUUCCUUCCUGCUCAUCUCUGUUUCAAGAUACUACUAUAGUCCAAGCUUUGCAUAUCAGGGAAAAGGGACUUUGGAGUCAUAAUUAACGUUCUAGAGCAGAUGGCAGGCCUCAAAGUGGAUGCCUUCAACUAGUGAAAUGUUAUAGUUAUUAUCUUUACUCUUAAAUGUUCCAGUGUUGGAGUUGUGGUGGAUUUUGCAUUCAUGUUUUUUUUCUCUGUACCAGCUUUCAGAUUUGUUUAUGAAAAUCAACUGCCGGAAUAACAUCGAAUCUCCCAUUUCACAAGAUGUGAUUUUAUUUUUACAUAGACAAAAUAGAAGGUUGCAACGUGGGAGUAACACAUAAUCUAAUCUAUCCUUCCGAAACCAGAAAGUGCAGCUCCAGACGCCGGACAAGGGGGGAGAUGUAAUUGGCUGGGUUUCUGGAGAGCGUUAAUUGUCCUAAUUUAAAAAUGAUUGUAUUACUCCGUGGUGAUAGGGAAUUACAUAAUUUUGAUUGAAAUGUAUCCAAUAUUAAAUCUGGCUGUGUUAAAAAAAACAAUCCCACAACAUUGUUGUCUGGAAUGACCGAUGGGGAAGAUCAUUUACAUAAUCAGUCUGAGUGAUACAACAAAGGACUGUUCACAUGAUCAACUGUAAAAGUUCUUAAUCAGAAGGAUUACUGUUAUCAAAAAUAAACUACACAUUUACAAAUGUGCAAAGUGCAAAAUACGGAUCACUAAGUAUUUUUUACCCACCAAAUUCCAAUGCAAUUCCAGGCACCAGAGAAUUAGACCCACUGUAACUUGUACUACUACUACAUACAGAUGCAGCCACUUUGGUUUGUCUGUUUAACACAGAAUAACUAAACACAGAUAUC